UUUGAACUUGGCAACUUUUUUCAC
rnacentral:miRNA from 1 species